rnacentral:rRNA from 1 species
GAGCGUUCUGUAAGCCUGUGAAGGUGUGUCGUGAGGCAUGCUGGAGGUAUCAGAAGUGCGAAUGCUGACAUAAGUAACGAUAAAGCGGGUGAAAAGCCCGCUCGCCGGAAGACCAAGGGUUCCUGUCCAACGUUAAUCGGGGCAGGGUGAGUCGACCCCUAAGGCGAGGCCGAAAGGCGUAGUCGAUGGGAAACGGGUUAAUAUUCCCGUACUUGGUGUUACUGCGAAGGGGGGACGGAGAAGGCUAUGUUGGCCGGGCGACGGUUGUCCCGGUUUAAGCGUGUAGGUGUGUGUUCCAGGUAAAUCCGGUUCACUUUAACACUGAGGCGUGACGACGAGGCACUACGGUGCUGAAGCAACAAAUGCCCUGCUUCCAGGAAAAGCCUCUAAGCAUCAGGUAACAUCAAAUCGUACCCCAAACCGACACAGGUGGUCAGGUAGAGAAUACCAAGGCGCUUGAGAGAACUCGGGUGAAGGAACUAGGCAAAAUGGUGCCGUAACUUCGGGAGAAGGCACGCUGACACGUAGGUGAAGUGAUUUACUCAUGGAGCUGAAGUCAGUCGAAGAUACCAGCUGGCUGCAACUGUUUAUUAAAAACACAGCACUGUGCAAACACGAAAGUGGACGUAUACGGUGUGACGCCUGCCCGGUGCCGGAAGGUUAAUUGAUGGGGUCAGCGCAAGCGAAGCUCCUGAUCGAAGCCCCGGUAAACGGCGGCCGUAACUAUAACGGUCCUAAGGUAGCGAAAUUCCUUGUCGGGUAAGUUCCGACCUGCACGAAUGGCGUAAUGAUGGCCAGGCUGUCUCCACCCGAGACUCAGUGAAAUUGAACUCGCUGUGAAGAUGCAGUGUACCCGCGGCAAGACGGAAAGACCCCGUGAACCUUUACUAUAGCUUGACACUGAACAUUGAGCCUUGAUGUGUAGGAUAGGUGGGAGGCUUUGAAGUGUGGACGCCAGUCUGCAUGGAGCCGACCUUGAAAUACCACCCUUUAAUGUUUGAUGUUCUAACGUGGACCCGUGAUCCGGGUUGCGGACAGUGUCUGGUGGGUAGUUUGACUGGGGCGGUCUCCUCCUAAAGAGUAACGGAGGAGCACGAAGGUUGGCUAAUCCUGGUCGGACAUCAGGAGGUUAGUGCAAUGGCAUAAGCCAGCUUGACUGCGAGCGUGACGGCGCGAGCAGGUGCGAAAGCAGGUCAUAGUGAUCCGGUGGUUCUGAAUGGAAGGGCCAUCGCUCAACGGAUAAAAGGUACUCCGGGGAUAACAGGCUGAUACCGCCCAAGAGUUCAUAUCGACGGCGGUGUUUGGCACCUCGAUGUCGGCUCAUCACAUCCUGGGGCUGAAGUAGGUCCCAAGGGUAUGGCUGUUCGCCAUUUAAAGUGGUACGCGAGCUGGGUUUAGAACGUCGUGAGACAGUUCGGUCCCUAUCUGCCGUGGGCGCUGGAGAACUGAGGGGGGCUGCUCCUAGUACGAGAGGACCGGAGUGGACGCAUCACUGGUGUUCGGGUUGUCAUGCCAAUGGCACUGCCCGGUAGCUAAAUGCGGAAGAGAUAAGUGCUGAAAGCAUCUAAGCACGAAACUUGCCCCGAG